GACGAACGCUGGCGGCGUGCCUAAUACAUGCAAGUAGAACGCACAGUUUAUACCGUAGCUUGCUACACCAUAAACUGUGAGUUGCGAACGGGUGAGUAACGCGUAGGUAACCUGCCUGGUAGCGGGGGAUAACUAUUGGAAACGAUAGCUAAUACCGCAUAAUAUUGAUUAUUGCAUGAUAAUUGAUUGAAAGAUGCUAUUGCAUCACUACCAGAUGGACCUGCGUUGUAUUAGCUAGUAGGUGAGGUAACGGCUCACCUAGGCGACGAUACAUAGCCGACCUGAGAGGGUGAUCGGCCACACCGGGACUGAGACACGGCCCAGACUCCUACGGGGGGCAGCAGUAGGGAAUCUUCGGCAAUGGACGAAAGUCUGACCGAGCAACGCCGCGUGAGUGAAGAAGGUUUUCGGAUCGUAAAGCUCUGUUGUAAGAGAAGAACGGGUGUGAGAGUGGAAAGUUCACACUGUGACGGUAUCUUACCAGAAAGGGACGGCUAACUACGUG
rnacentral:rRNA from 1 species